UUGACGGUGAACUCCCAGUAGUCCUGCGACUCGAGGAUCGCCUCGUAGCUGUAGUGAUCGCCAUCGGCGAGCACCUCGAGCACCGUCGGCUCGCCGUACUUCCCGGCGCCGAUCUUGUUCACCUUGCCGUGGGCGAUCAGGUAGAUCGCGUCGGCUUCCUUGCCGGCCUCGCUGAUGAUCUCGCCGGCCUUGUACUCCUUCUGCUCGAAGCGGCCUGCCAGCGCAGUCAGGACAUCGUUGUCCUCGAAACCGCGCAGGAUCGGCAGCUCGCACAGCUCCUGCGGGAUCACCUGCACCUUCGACCCGGUGCUGGUGAACGUCACCCGGCCGUCACCGACCGCAUAGCUCAGGCGGCGGUUGACGCGGUACGUACCGGCGGAGACCUGGAUCCACGGCAGCAGCUUCAGCAGCCACCGGGACGAGAUCCCCUGCAUCUGGGGGAGCGACUUCGUGGUCGUCGCGAGCUGCCGUGCGGCUGCCGUCGCGAGGCUCUGCUGCUGCUUCUCAA
rnacentral:antisense_RNA from 1 species